UCGGUCUGUUUAAAGUCAUGAGCGAUUGCAACGUUUAAUUUGAUUCUAAUUUGAACGUUUAAAAUAAUUGCAAGUCACAUUAUGACUCGUUUAGGUAAAAACAGAGAUUUACCAGGAAGUAAGGUUUUCCGCGAUAGAUCUUCCUGAAAUAUGUCUGUCUGGUCGCUUGGCAUGUUAUGUCUGUAGGGAUGUCACGAGAACCGAUACUUCGGUACAAAGUCGAUGCCAAAAUACCGGGGAUCCAAAACGUGACAGAUAGCGGCAAGUGCUGCAGCUCCGCCUCGACUUGAGUGUCGCGAACUUUGCGUUCGAGGCGGAUCAGGGUAUAAUGAAUUCGCAAAAACCAAAAUGCAAAUGGUGCCUUGAAACGUUCGUGACUAAAGGAGUAAACGCUACCAACUUAGCGAAACACUUCAAAGACAGACAUGCAGAUUCGUUUAAAGAAUUCAAGACGGGUGUGAUGGAAUGGUGGGAUGACAGGCAGUGAGAUGUGAGAGAGAGUAAGCUCCAACAGUGACUGGCUGGGAUGACAGUGGGGCCACCAGUGUGGAAACCGCUGUGUGUGGACGUGUUGGCGACGGUCUCCACUGUGACAGGACGG
ensembl:lncRNA